rnacentral:rRNA from 1 species
AUACAUGAGCAAAAUCUCAACUUUAUUAGAAGAGACGCAUUUAUUAGAUAAAAAGCCAAUGCAUGCUUUUACAGUAUGGAAAUUGGUGAUUUAUAAUAACUUGGCAAAUCGCAAAGUGAAAACAGGCGAUAAAUCAUUCAAGUUUCUGACCUAUCAGCUUUCGACGGUAUGGUAUUGGCUUACCGUGGCAGUGACGGUUAACGGGGGAUUAGGGUUCGAUUCCGGAGAGGGAGCCUGAGAAACGGCUACCACAUCUAAGGAAGGCAGCAGGCGCGCAAAUUACCCAAUUCUAACAGUUUGAGAGAGGUAGUAACAAGAAAUAACAAUACAAGGCAAUUAAAAUGCUUUGUAAUUGGAAUGAUAGAAAUUUAAACCCUUUUUAAAGUAUCAAUUGGAGGGCAAGUCUGGUGCCAGCAGCCGCGGUAAUUCCAGCUCCAAUAGCGUAUAUUAAAAUUGUUGCAGUUAAAAAGCUCGUAGUUGAAGUUCUGCUAAAAGUAACCGGUCUGCUUUUAAUAAAAGUGGUAUCUUGGUGUGUAUUUAGCAAUGAUGUCCUUUGAAGUGUUUUUUACUUUAUUGUAAUAAAGCAUAUUCAGGACUUUUACUUUGAGAAAAUUAGAGUGUUUCUAGCAGGCCGACGCUUUGAAUACUGCAGCAUGGAAUAAG